rnacentral:rRNA from 1 species
GAUGCACGCUGGCGGCGUGCCUAAUACAUGCAAGUCGAGCGAACAGAUGAGGAGCUUGCUCCUCUGACGUUAGCGGCGGACGGGUGAGUAACACGUGGAUAACCUACCUAUAAGACUGGGAUAACUUCGGGAAACCGGAGCUAAUACCGGAUAAUAUAUUGAACCGCAUGGUUCAAUAGUGAAAGACGGUUUUGCUGUCACUUAUAGAUGGAUCCGCGCCGCAUUAGCUAGUUGGUAAGGUAACGGCUUACCAAGGCAACGAUGCGUAGCCGACCUGAGAGGGUGAUCGGCCACACUGGAACUGAGACACGGUCCAGACUCCUACGGGAGGCAGCAGUAGGGAAUCUUCCGCAAUGGGCGAAAGCCUGACGGAGCAACGCCGCGUGAGUGAUGAAGGUCUUCGGAUCGUAAAACUCUGUUAUUAGGGAAGAACAAAUGUGUAAGUAACUAUGCACGUCUUGACGGUACCUAAUCAGAAAGCCACGGCUAACUACGUG